CUGAUGCAGCGACGCCGCGUGAGGGAUGACGGCCUUCGGGUUGUAAACCUCUUUCAGUAGGGAAGAAGCGAAAGUGACGGUACCUGCAGAAGAAGGGCCGGCUAACUACGUGCCACCAGCCGCGGUAAUACGUAGGGCGCAAGCGUUAUCCGGAAUUAUUGGGCGUAAAGAGCUCGUACGCGGUUUGUCGCGUCUGCCGUGAAAGUCCGGGGCUCAACUCCGGAUCUGCGGUGGGUACGGGCAGACUACAGUGAUGUAGGGGAGACUGGAAUUCCUGGUGUAGCGGUGAAAUGCCCAGAUAUCAAGAGGAACACCGAUGGCGAAGGCAGGUCUCUGGGCAUUAACUGACGCUGAGGAGCCAAAGCAUGCGGAGCGAACAGGAUUAGAUACCCUGGUACUCCAUGCCGUAAACGUUGGGCACUAGGUGUGGGGGACAUUCCACGUUUUCCGCGCCGUAUCUAACGCAUUAAGUGCCCCGCCUGGGGAGUACGGCCGCAAGGCUAAAACUC
rnacentral:rRNA from 1 species